CCCAUUUUUGCCCCAUUUUUGCCCCAAUUUUGGGUGACUUUCCUUCCCUCCCCCCCCCAGCGGGUCCUUCUGGGCACCCACGUGCUCCUGAUGACGUCAUCGGCGGCGGGGGCGGGGCUCUCCGUGAUUGGUGCGAUCGCCGCCAGCAGGGCCCGCCCCAAACGGAUCCAGCCACCCGUGGUGAUUUACCAGACGGCCCUGGGGGCGGGGCCUGGAGAAGCCACGCCCACCGGCAACCCCGCCCCUCAAUAAGGACCAAUCAGGGACGAGGGGGCGUGUCUGGCUCCGCCCCCUCUUAGAAUAAUAAUGGAAAUA